rnacentral:rRNA from 1 species
UUUUUGAAAAUAAUUUAAAGUCUAAUACUGCCCACUGAUAAAUUAUUAAAGGGCUGCAGUAUUUUGACUGUACAAAGGUAGCAUAAUCAUUAGUCUCUUAAUUGGUGACUUGUAUGAAAGAUUGGAUGAAAUAUAUACUGUCUCUAUUUAAUUUAUAAAAUUUAAUUUUUUAGUAAAAAAGCUAAAAUGAAUUUAAAAGACGAGAAGACCCUAUAGAGUUUGAUAAUUUAUUUAAUUAUUAUUAAUAUAUAAAUUUUAAAAUUAAAAUUAAAUAAAUUAUUUUGUUGGGGUGAUAGAAAAAUUAAAUUAACUUUUUUUUAUUUUAUACAUUAAUUUAUGAAUGAAUGAUCCAUUAAUAAUGAUUAAAAGAAAAAAUUACCUUAGGGAUAACAGCGUAAUUUUUUUUUUUAGUUCAAAUAGGAAAAAAAGUUUGCGACCUCGAUGUUGGAUUAAAAUAAAAUUUAAAUGCAAAAGUUUAAAAUUUUGAUCUGUUCGAUCAUUAAAAUCUUACAUG